GCCGAGCUACCAAGAGGAGCUCUUGUUUGGUUGAACUGAUCAUCUAAUGUUGAUCCUUCUUGAAAUAUAAUUUCAUGUGGUGAGUUCUUAAAUCGAGCCUGUGAAUUCAUGUUAUGAUUUAUCCCUGGUUCACCUCCAGUCCACAGUAUACCUUUCUCCUGAGGAAAAUCGUAAAAGUGGCUCCCGUGGUGAGCAAGAAAGUCAAUGAUAUUAGAUACUGCCAUAUCUCCACCAUAGGGGAUAGCUUUCUUCCUCCCAGCUGGAAAUAAGAGUAGAGAUGGAUAUAGUUCCCUCUGAAGCACUGAUUUCAGGAUUAAGCCGCAGUCAUUGAAUGUACAAUCCAUCAAGUAAAUCACUGGAAACUUCAGGAACGCAUUUCUCACCUCAGCCCCAUUCAACAACGGUUUGUGAGUCUUAAACCUAUUCCUCAGGGUUCUAUUAUACCCCUUGAUUGCACGGUAUACUUCACGAACAACCAGUUCCAUCCUCUGGCAAAAACCACACCACCUAUUGCUGAAAAGAACUAAAAUAUCCCUAUCUCGAGAACUACCAGAAUUUUUGGAAUCGGACUGAUUAUAAAGGACCAGCUCAUUGAACAUAUGCCCCGUCACUCGAGGGAUAGAAUCCGCCUCAUGAAAAUCCAGAUUAACAAAUGGUGGAAUUGGAGCCUCCCUAAUGGUUGGAACAACAUGCUCAGACUGUUUAUAUGGGUUAAGA
rnacentral:misc_RNA from 1 species